GUUGAACCGGGUCUUACUGUAUAGUUGAGGCUGAACUUGAUCUCAGACUAUGUAGCUCAGGCUGGCCUUAAACUCACAGCAGUCCUCCUGCCUCAGCCCCCCAAGUACUGGGAUUACAGGCAUAUGCUACCAUGCCUGGCUUGGCAGUUGUGGACAUUUAAAAGUAUAUUUUUCCUCUAUCAAUUUAUAAUUUUCCUCAUGGGCCAGGGAUGUAGCUCAGCAGCACAGUGCCUGCCUGGAAGGCAUGAGGCCCUGAGUUUGAUUCCUGGUAACCCCUCCCCUCCCCCAAAUCUUAUAAUUUUUCUUAGGUAAGAGUCCAAGUAGAAAUAGGAAAAAUAAUACGAACAAAUGUAUUCUUCACAAAACCCCCACAGUAUCCAUGGUUUCUCCUUUGCUGUGUCCUUGUGGCUUAGCUAAUGUAUGCUUGUGUGCUAUCAAGUCACAGGACUGGUGAGGAAUUUGGUUUUGGUUAUUUUUCUUUUUUCUUUUUUGUACUGGGGAUCGAACUCGGGACCUUGUGUUAGCGAGGCAGGUGGCAAAACCACUGAGCUAAAUCCCUGGCCCUUGGUUAUUUUUCUUGACCUUGUAUCUUCCAUAUAGCUUAUAGGAGUUCAUAAUUUUGAAGCCCAAGCCUUCAAGAAGAAAUUCUGACUUUGCAUUAAGCCCUUCUGAUGGGAAAGAAAAAAAAUACUUACUAAAAAGAAAGUUUAAUCCCUCUAGAGAACUGGAGCUCAGUUACUCCCUCAUAUAUUACUAAGAUUACUUUAAAAGCUAGAGUUAUAGAAUGAAAACUUUUUGAGUAAUUUUUAAUACAUAGAAAUACUUGAUACCCCAUGUUUUGAAUAUUAGUUGCUUCACAACUUUGCAUAUUAUAGAAUGUCUUAGUUACUUUCUUGUUGCUGGGACAAAAUACCCAACACCCACAAGUUAAAGGAGGAAAGGUUUAUUUUAGCUUUUAGUUUAUAAAGAUUUCAGUCCAUAGUCAGCUGGCUCCAAAGCAUGCCAGAGGGGUAUGGCAGAGGAAACCUGCUCAUGGCAUGGCAGUGGGAAGCAGCAAGCCAUCAAGGCAGGAGAGAUAUACAGUAUAUACAUCUCCAAGCCACAAACCAUGCCCACAGUGUGACCCACCUCUUUCCACCAGGCUUCACCUCAGUCACACCCACUAUAAACCCAUCAGUGGACUAAUCCAGUAUCACCUGUGAUCCAGUCACUUCCCAAAAGAUGGGCGCAUGAGGCUUUAGGGGAACAUUACAUAUAAGCCAUAAUAACAUAGGAUAAAAGAAAUAAGGAUUCAGUGCAAAAAAAUGUUCUUUCCAUAGAAAAAGCUUUUCAUUUGAACUUAGUAAUAGAUUUUUAGCAGCCCAUGAACUCUAGAAACUUCUAGCAGUCUUGGAUAUUAAAGUAUCCUUGGCCUUUGUCCCUGAAUUCCUGCAAGUCUCAGAUACUUUCCAUUCAGCCCAGUAUUCCUCCAAGACGGCAUUUUCGGAGAAGCUCUAACUUUUCACUGCUCUUGUGAUGCUAUUAAACAUGUAUCUGGGAUGGUAAUGGUUAUUUAACACAAAUUCAAGUUUGAGACCACUGAUAAUCUUCCCUUUCUUUUGCUUUUGGGCUUUGAUGACCCGUGGUCACCCAGAGUGGAGCACGUGCAGAGUAAGCCAUUGGAAAGCAGAAAAAAUAUAUUGAAGCAUGAUAGUUCACAUAUUUAUAAAUAAAUACAUUCAUGAACCAGGCAUGGUGGGAUUACACACCUAUAAUCCCAGCACUGGAGAGGCUGACUUGGAGGAUCGCCUGUGAGUUCAAGGCCAGCCUGGGCUACAUAGUUCAAGGUCAGCCUGAAAUACAUAGUGAGACCCUGUGUCAAAAAAUAAAAGCAUAUAGAGAUAGUGCUUGAUAAGCAUUCAAUAAAGUGCUAGUAUUAGUAUCAUUUCAGUGGGUAAAUUCUAUUAGAUUGAAUGUUUGUGUUCCCCCACAAUUCAUGUUGAAACCUAAUGCGCAAUGUGAUGGUAUUUAGAAGUGGGGCCUUUGGGGAGAGAUUAGAUCAUGAGGGCAAAUGAAGUCAGUGCCCUUGGAAAAGAAUUUAGAGAACUGCCUUGCCCUUUCUUCCAUGUGAGGACAUAGCAGAAAAGACAGCUGUCUGUGUACCAGGAAACAUAUCCUCAGGAGACACUGAAUCUGCAAGCACCCUAAUCUUGGACUUGCCAGAAGUGUGAAAUGUAAAGAAAUGCAAGAUGCGAAGUUUUAUUUUUUUUGUAAACCACUCAGUAUGUUAUUUUGUUAUAGCUGCCUCAAACACACUUAAGACACUUUCCUUUGAUUAUUUUUCUAAAGCUUUCUACAGCCAGUGCUACUGAUAAAAUCCAGAAAGCAAUAUUAAUUAUUUCCUAUGUUUAUCUUUCAGUUCAAACGAAAGUAUUGAAGAACCCUUGUAACCUCAAUUGAAAGAUCAUUAGAGGGAGCCAGCCCCUAGAUUUGGACGAAUGUUCUUUAUAUAUCCCCUUUCACAUUUCACAAUCAUGAUUUAGAAUGAAAAUUGACAUUUCAGUCACUAAAACUGGUAGUUUUGGGCUGAGGGUGUAGCUCAGUGGUAGAGCACAUGCCUAGCAUGUUUAAGGCCCUGGAUCCAAUCCCUAGGACUGGCAAACACAAAGAAAAAAAGACUGAUAGCUCGUCUGUAUGAUCUGGCCUCUCUUGAGCCAAGUUAAAUCAGCUGUUGGAGAAGCAGUGAAAGGGACAGGGGACCAAGAGAUGGAGGAAGAGGGGAGAACAGGUAAAAAAAUUAUGUGUUACAUGCAUGCAUCGACUACCUACAAGGAGUGGAAUCAUUAUGUACUGCAAACCUGUACUAAUAAAAUGAAAAAUGUUGAAUUGAGUUCCAAAGUACAUUUCAACGUCAUGUGCUUUUUGUGGUCUUCUUUUGUGGUACUGGGUGUUGAACCCAGAGCUAUUACACUGAGCUUUAGCUUCCCCCACCUUUUUAUGUUUAUUUUGAGACAGGGUCUUGCUAAGUUGCCCAGGCGGAAUUUGAACUGAGGAUCCUCCUGCCUCAGCUUCCAAAAUGCUGGGAUUACAGGUGUGGGCUACCAUGCCAAGCAGGGUCUCACCAUGCAGUCAGGCUGGCCUCGAACUUCAGCAGUCCUCCUGCCUCAGCCUCUCCUGGUGCUAGAAUUGGCAGGUGUGCAUUACCAUUCCCAGAAACGUUGCACCUCUCAUCACUGCUGGCAAGGCAGCACCUGGAGGAAGACUCUUGUUUCCUCAAGGAGCCUUCAUUGCAUGCAGAAAGGAC
ensembl:lncRNA